rnacentral:lncRNA from 1 species
UUACUUGAGAUUGAUUAGGAUUUAAUUUAGGGUUAGAGUUAGGAUUUUGGAUUGAUUUAAGGUUUGGUUAGAAUUAAGAUUUGAUUUAGGUUAAGAAUUGGUAAGGAUUUGUCUAGGAUUUGACUACUAUUUAUUUAAAAUUUUGUUAGGACUUAUUUAGGAUUUAUUUAGAAUUUUGUUAGAAUUUAUUUAAGAUUUGAUUAGGAUUUGAUUAGAAUUUGAUUAGAAUUUGGUCUAAGCUUAUUUAGAAUUUGAUUAAAAUUUGAUAAAUAUUUAAUUAGGACUUAUUUAAGAUUUAUCUAGGAUUUGAUUAGGAUUUUUUUAGAAUUUGUUUAGAAUUUGAUUAGGUUUUGAUUAGAGUUUGACUAGGAUUUGUUUAGAAUUUUGUUAGGGCUUGUUUAGGAAUUGAUUAGGAUUUGACAUGGAUUUGACCAAGGUUUGACUAAGAUUUGACUAGAUUUUGACUAAGAUUUAAUUAAACUUAUUAUUUUAAUAUUUUAUUAAGAUUUCUACAUAUAUAUAUAUAUAUAUAUAUAUAUAUAUAUAUUUAAUUUCUAUAUUAUUUCUUUAAGAUUUCUUUAAAGGAUCUUUAGGAAUUCUUUGUAUUUUUUCUAUAAUUCUUUUGAAAUUUUAAUUGAAUUUGAUUGAUAUUUGAUUAUAUUUGGUAAUCUUUAAUUAUAAUUUAUUUAAGAAUCUAUUAGAAUUAUUACGACUUGUUAUUACAAUUUUCCUUUUAUCUUCCACAACCACAUGUCCGAUCCAUUCUCAAGCCAAACACCACAUAAUACGACAGCGCUUUAUAGUUAACUUGUU